GGUCACACCCUGUGCAGGAAUCAGUCCCAGGCAGGACUGAGCAUGGACAUGAGGGUCCCGACUCAGCUCCUCAGCCUCCUGCUGCUGUGGCUCCCAGGAGCCAGAUGUGAUAUCCAGAUGACCCAGUCUCAAACCUCCCUGUCUGCAUCAGUGGGAGACAGAGUCACCAUCACUUGCCGGGCCAGUCAGAGCAUUAGCAGUUGGUUAGCCUGGUAUCAGCAGAAACCCGGGGCAGCUCCUAAGCUCCUGAUCUAUAAGGCAACCAAUUUGCAAACUGGUGUCCCUUCGAGGUUCAGUGGCCAAGGAUCUGGGACAGAUUUCACUCUCACCAUCAGCAGCCUGCAGCCUGAAGAUGUGGCAACUUAUUACUGUCAACAGUAUGACAAGUUCCCCUCCCACAGUGUUAUAAGCCUGAACAUAAACCACGAAGCAGACAGCUGAGAGUUGGCAGCCCCAGCUGCUCCUCAUGAGCCUCCAUCAGCUGAGAGCAUUUUUCAGAUGCACCCACUCUUUGAUGGUGACUGGAGGUUUUGGUAGCAGCGGCCAG